rnacentral:rRNA from 1 species
UACAUGGGGUGCAAACGUUGCUCGGGAAUCAUUGGGCGUAAAGCGCACGUAGGCGGUUACUUAAGUCGGAUGUGAAAGCCCUCGGCUCAAACUGAGGAAGUGCACCCGAAACUGAGUAGCUAGAGUACGAAAGAGGGUCGCGGAAUUCCCGGUGUAGAGGUGAAAUUCGUAGAUAUCGGGAGGAACACCGGUGGCGAAGGCGGCGACCUGGGUCGAGACUGACGCUGAGGUGCGAAAGCGUGGGGGAGCAAACAGG